UACAGAGGUCUCAAGCGUUGUUCGGAUUCAUUGGGCGUAAAGGGUGCGUAGGCGGCGCGGUAAGUCGGGUGUGAAAUCUUGGAGCUUAACUCCGAAACUGCAUUCGAUACUGCCGUGCUUGAGGACUGGAGAGGAGACUGGAAUUUACGGUGUAGCGGUGAAAUGCGUAGAUAUCGUAAGGAAGACCAGUGGCGAAGGCGGGUCUCUGGACAGUUCCUGACGCUGAGGCACGAAGGUCAGGGGAGCAAACGGGGAUUAGAGUAC
rnacentral:rRNA from 1 species